AACACCACUGCACAUAGACACUGUCAGGGCUAGGAGCAGGAUAGCCGUCCACCACAGGGAGCUCAUGGCCAUGGCUGCCUAGGAAGGAAACUGGAAAUGAGACAAACAAAGACCACCUUGACACCUGUUCCUCCCAAAGGAAGUGCUAUCCAGCACCUGAGUGGUACACAGCUGCAUGCCAAGGUUAAAGCACAACAGAGACGAUGGCACUCUGGAGAACUCGGAGCAGAGGAGCAGGGAGGAGCCUCAUGGCGCACAUUGCGGCCCAGUCCCUGUGCCAUCCUGGAGUGAGGUUCUUCUCUAGAGGCAUGAAUAAACUCACCAGUUCUGCACAGCGAGGCCUUUGUCCCAUCUUCCUUAGCUGGGAUACAGCUGGUCCCUUCCACCACCUCCUCCUGAGCAGUGUUGGUGUGUCUGUGGGUGAAUCAGGCAGUGUCGCUGCUCAGGGCUCAGAUUUUUGUCCAGUAGGCCUUCGUGAACCUGAGCAGGCUAAACGGCUCCAGUUCAGGAGCCGCCAUCAUUCAGACACAUCUGUCAAUGCUAUCUGUGUGCUUUUCCUUAAACAUCUUUGAUUUUAUGGGGACUGACUACGCCUGCAGAGAAAUCUAGCAUUUCCAUUGUACACAGCCAUGCUGUUCUCAUGACAUCCAAGGGACUCCAAGUUCUCCCUGUUUGACUGUCUGCCAGAACCUUUCUGUGUGUGUCUUACAACAUUCCAGGGCCAUUCUGUGCAUGCCCAGGCUUCAUAGCGGAGGGAGGUCAGCUCAGCCCUUGCUGGCAGCAGCUGGUCAACGGCCUCUCCUUGGGAAUCUGAACCCCAGAGGAGGGAGUAGUAUCUCCCGAUUGCAGGGGAUGUCAGACACACUCAGAAAUGCUGCUUCCUCUUCAAAGGCUGCCAGCACAACACAGAAAGCAUGUCUGUGCUGACCUCUGCCACUCUCCUGGGCAAGAAUGCUCUUUCAGCUGGUGCCCUCCAUUCAAAGC